AUUGAACGCUGGCGGCAGGCUUAACACAUGCAAGUCGUGCGGUAACAGAGAGAAGCUUGCUUCUCUGCUGACGAGCGGCGGACGGGUGAGUAAUGCCUAGGAAUCUGCCUAGUAGUGGGGGAUAACUUGCCGAAAGGUAAGCUAAUACCGCAUACGUCCUACGGGAGAAAGGAGGGGACCUUCGGGCCUUUCGCUAUUAGAUGAGCCUAGGUCGGAUUAGUUAGUUGGUGAGGUAAUGGCUCACCAAGACCGCGAUCCGUAACUGGUCUGAGAGGAUGAUCAGUCACACGGGAACUGAGACACGGUCCAGACUCCUACGGGAGGCAGCAGUGGGGAAUAUUGGACAAUGGGGGGAACCCUGAUCCAGCCAUGCCGCGAGUGUGAAGAAGGUCUUAGGAUUGUAAAGCACUUUAAGUUGGGAGGAAGAGCAGUUAACUAAUAUUUGACUGUUUUGACGUUACCGACAGAAUAAGCACCGGCUAACUUCGUGCCAGCCGCCGCCGUAA
rnacentral:rRNA from 1 species